GAUGAACGCUGGCGGCGUGCCUAAUACAUGCAAGUCGAGCGAACGGACGAGAAGCUUGCUUCUCUGAUGUUAGCGGCGGACGGGUGAGUAACACGUGGAUAACCUACCUAUAAGACUGGGAUAACUUCGGGAAACCGGAGCUAAUACCGGAUAAUAUUUUGAACCGCAUGGUUCAAAAGUGAAAGACGGUCUUGCUGUCACUUAUAGAUGGAUCCGCGCUGCAUUAGCUAGUUGGUAAGGUAACGGCUUACCAAGGCAACGAUGCAUAGCCGAACUGAGAGGGUGGUCGGCCACACGGGAACUGAGCCGCGUUCCAGACUCCUACGGGAGGCAGCAGUAGGGAAUCUUCCGCAAUGGGCGAAAGCCUGACGGAGCAACGCCGCGUGAGUGAUGAAGGUCUUCGGAUCGUAAAACUCUGUUAUUAGGGAAGAACAUAUGUGUAAGUAACUGUGCACAUCUUGACGGUACCUAAUCAGAAAGCCACGGCUAACUACGUG
rnacentral:rRNA from 1 species